UGAGCAAUCUGCCCUUCUCAUCGGAAUAAGCGUUGGAAACGACGUCUAAUGCCGAAUACGACCUCCUUUCGCAUGAUCGGAGGUGGAAAGCUCCGGCGGAGAAGGAUGAGCUCGCGGCCUAUCAGCUAGUUGGUGUGGGUAACGGCCCACCAAGGCGACGACGGGUAGCCGGCCUGAGAGGGUGACCGGCCACACUGGGACUGAGACACGGCCCAGACUCCGUACGGGGAGGNAG
rnacentral:rRNA from 1 species